rnacentral:lncRNA from 1 species
ACUAAUGGAUCAAAAGAUGCUCAUCAAAGGCUCUGAGCUUUCCUGAGUGCUAACAGGAAACAUCCAGCAUCACUGGUCUCUCCAAGGCUGCAGGUGUCUUUGCCCAUAGUGCCUGUUUUGUGUCAGGGAAAGAAUCAACCUGGGAGCCAAGCCCAGGAAUCAGGAUGACCAAGACAUACUGCACAAGGAGGGAACAAACCCAUCCAAGGACACUCAAGGACAAAUCAAGCAAAUGAAUUUAAGGGAGACGUGCUCAUGGUCUGCUUUGCUGCUCAGCAUGGCUGGGAGGCACAGUGGAAGAUCAUGCAUCCUGCCCCUGGGACUCCUCUGCCAGAGCCUGAGAGCUUUCUCCUGCCCACAGGCUAGGGGUAGGGCAGUUGGAAUUGAUCCAUGCCUUCUAGCUAGACUGUGGGUCCCCUCAGUCUUGGGCAUGGUGACAGCCCAGCAUCAGACAGAGGUCAGUAUCAAACUAGAAAAUUUAAUAAAUACUGUCAGAUUUGUAGACCCAAGAAAAUAUAAACUGCCAAUCAUGGAGGAAAAAAAUCUCUCAAUGAUCUUAUCUUUAUAUGAUUCCCUUGCUGCCUGGAGAUUGACAUUUCCUUGGGGAUAAUCUGGUCAUAGGAUUGGUGAAGGUGGAAGGGAGGCAACCUCCAAAGGUGGGGCCCUCUGCUCACCUGGGACAGGGAGGGCCUGAGGUAGGUGUCUGUGUGGGCUGGGGAGGAGGAUGGGAGCAGUGCUUCUAGAUGUUUCCACUUUCUCCUCAUUAGAUAAUAACGAAUGGGUGAUUUCCCUAGUCACUGCAGUGUGAGGAAAUCUACAAAAUUAAUUUCACAAUACACUUUACAGGAUAGGUGGAGAAACACAUGAAGCACAACUGCAGUGGGUUAUAAAAAACGGCCUUUUGAGUUGAGCAAUAAAUUCGUUCAAGCAGCCAUUCUGAAGGACAAACUGGCUCUGUAUUUAAGAGGGGCAUUCCAGCACUUCUCUAGCCACUGGGUUGACAAUGACUCACCAAAGCCUCUGGUAGCCACCACAGGACACCCAGAGCAUAUGUUUUAAAGCUGAACACCAAACUGCGGACUUCGGGAACCCAAACACACUUGGAGGUCAUGUUCAAUAUGAAUACCUCACAGAGAAGGAAAUUUACACACGAGAAGUACAUCUGCAGAAAGCCAGCUGGCAUGUCAACCAUUCGAAAACUCAGGGUGUUCGGGAUAAAGAAGACUCAGGAAGACAAGUAUGAAGCAUAAUCUGUGACAUUCCAUGCAGCAGACGUUAGACACAUACAAGAGAGUUGUUGGAAAGCGGAAUUUAUCUUCAUAUAAACAACACUGAGCUAAAUCUCAAUAUUUCAGAUCUCUAGAACUAUCCAUCAGUGAAAUGGAUUGCAAAUAGAAAGAGUAAUACCAUGUCAUUUAAGAAUACAAUCAUGGACGAGGCUGCCACCUGCUGUUGGGGGCCACUGCAGAAGAAAUUCCAGAACACUGGACUGGAGAGCACCUCACUUUCCUUACAGCUCUAAGUUUCUGACUCAGUGACCUGAUUCACUACCAUAUACACAAAGACCCACUUACACAAAUGACUGUUCUUCACACUAGGCCCAUGGAGACAGGGAUAAAAUUCUGAAUUUGCUCAGAUACCUUCUCCGCUACUGACAUCUAGGCAUUACACAAUUCAUCUCUUCAUAUUUAACCUUUGAAGUUUGCUACUUCUCAGAAAGACUAAUGAGUAGUGAGCAAAUAUCCUGAAGCUGAGAAUGCUUCUACCUCCUCUCAAAACAACAGAAUAUUCAUCAAAACACAGCAGUUCUGCACUUAACUUUAGGCCUUUUCUAACACCUUGUUUCUUGGCAGUAACUGUGGCCAGAAUAGCUCUUUCCACAGAUAAAGGACCUUUUGAAAGGAUAGGGUCUCUAGAUAGAAAAGCAAAUGCCUCAUUCCAGAAGGUCUUCAAGAAGAAAAUGUUGUGGUGAUAACAAACAUAACUGAUUAUAAUCUAUUCUGUGAAAAAAGCUUAUGAAACAGUAGAUGUGUGUAUCUAGUACAUAAGAGCUGAAUGUCAAUAUAUAUAUAUAUAUAUAGAUAUAUACACACACUCAAAUAAAUAAUAGUUAUCUCUAACUAGAGAAAUUCUAGUUGCCUUAUAUUUUCUUCUUUUUCCUUACUAUAUUUUCUACAAUAAACAUGUGUUUUUAACAAGAAAAGUCUUUUCUGGUGUGCUUUUUAAUUUUCUUUGUUUAAGUGAGAGUGAGGCUACAUAACUACAUGGCUAGGUAGACUUUCAGAAAACUUGGCUGCUCUAGAAAAUUGACAUAUCCUGAUUUCUUCCAUAGCUUGGAUCUUGACCUAGAGGGACAUAUAAAAAUGUUGACUUGAACCUGAGGGGUGCCAUUUUCACUGCUGAAGUAGUUUCAUGGAUCAUGAAUUGGAGAAAUGACUUCAGCAACACGGGUGUUAAAAACAGAAAGCACAAGUGACCCACAACAGAUGAUGGAGAACAAAGAGCAAGCUGGGAAAAGCAGUGGCCUUUAAUACAGAAAAGAAGAAGUAUAGCCUCAAUAAAUAUUAGGCAGACAGCAGUUCAGCAGUUUAUACUAUUAAGAUGUUGUUUAGGGGAAUGGUAAACCGACAUGACCCUUGAGGUAGGUAUAUAUAGGUAAAUUCUAUGUGUCCCUUGAAAUAGGUGCAUGAUACAACUUCUGGCGGCUACAUGGAUUUGGUCACUCUAAAGUAGCCAUGAGGCUUAAGAUAGUUCAGCUGUUUGGGGAUAAGUUAAAUCAUUUGCCGUUGUCUUUCUGCAAUUUGCGUAUCCUACAGUUAUCAUUGCCAUUACUGAAUGGCACAGAGAAAAAUUCUGGUCUAAAGUGGUUCUCAAACCUGGUUGCUGGAGGGCCACCCUCAGUGAUGAUGAUUUAAUCUGUAGAAGAGUAGAACAUUGAUAGUUUUUAUAUAUCUCCAGGUAAUUUUAAUAUAUAACUGGGGUGAGAAUCAUCGACGUAAUUGUAAGAGGAUAAUAUUCAAGAAAUGUGGAGAUAAAUAAUUUUCUUCUCGACAUUAAAAAAAUCUAAUAAAAAGUUUUAUCUUUUCCCCUAAUUCAGGGUCAUCAGCCUUCAAGCUUCAGUCUCUGUGUGUUCACAGGUGCUGUAAACACACGCAUCACUACUAAUAUCCCACUUCAGUGCUAUUGCUGCUCCCAAAACUCCAGGUAUUUUUAACCUUAUAAACCUCCAGAGUAAUGAGACCACUGGGUUCAGUAAAGUGCUUUGUUUUGAAGCAGUGUUAGACAAAGUGGGAGACUAGAAGAUAAAUCUGUCAAUGACAUGUCCUUUAAGACUACUUAGAUUUUGUUGAAUUUGUGGAUCAUUCCUUACUUGAGCAAAUGGUAAAUUAACUCUCUCUUUUCUCUCUCUCUAGCUGGCACACUUUUCCCAGUAGCCAUUCUACUUGGUAUGCUUACUUAUCAGCUGUCCUCCAGGGGCCUCACAUUAGAUGUUUCUCUUGACUAACCAAACAUGACACACAGCUGAAGUCAGAAAAACCAGAUUGAUAAUUUCACUCAAACUAUUUUCCUUCAUUCUAACAAUUUACUGGAGUACACAAUUGUGACUAUUUUUAGCCAUAGGAACUCAUAGAAAGACCAACUUCAUUAGACCUACAAAAUCGAAUUGUGUAACAGUAUAUGCAGUAUGUGUAGGAAUAAAAAGCAUUUCUCAAAUAUGCAGUACUGGAUUUUGCAAAAGCACCUUAUACUUAGCUAUAAAGGAGUGGAAAACACAAAGAUGAGUAACUGCACCUUUCAAAAGACUAGAGCUAUACCAAUAAUACAAAGGUGUAAACAAAUAAUGAUGAGAUGACAAAGGCUGAGUGUUUUCUAUUUGGAAGCUAUGUUGUUGAAUUAUUUAUGUAUAUAAUUUCAUGCAAUCUUCAUGUUAUGGGGGUGUUCUAAUCCACUGUGACUCUGUCCUUAAAUAAAAGGGAGAUUUGGACAUAGUGAGAGGCACACGGGGAGGAUGCCAUAUGAGAAUUGACACUGUGCUGUCACAAGCCAAGGAACUACUGGAAGGAGAGAAAGAGGACUGGAACAGUUCCUUCCUUAGCACCUUUUCAGGCAGCCUAGCCCUGCCAGCUUCUUGAUCUGGACUUCUCACCUCUAGAAUUGUGAGGCAAUAAAUCUCUGUUGCUUAAGUUA